rnacentral:rRNA from 1 species
UCGAACGAACUAGUGGAAAGCUUGCUUUCAGAGUUAGUGGCGAACGGGUGAGUAACGACGUAAGUAACCUAGCUAUUAGACGAGGAUAACUACUGGAAACGGUAGCUAAGAACUGGAUAUGAUAGAAAUAUUUAAAGGAUGCUAAGGCAUCGGCUAAUAGAGGGGCUUGCGGGCGCAUUAGCUAGUUGGUAGGGUAAAGCCAACCAAGGCGAUGAUGCGUAGCCGACCUGAGAGGGUGACCGGCCACACUGGGACUGAGACACGGGCCCAGACUCCUACGGGAGGCAGCAGUAGGGAAUCUUCGGCAAGUGGACGGAAGUCUGACCGAGCAACGCCGCGUGAAGUGAAGAAAGUUUUCGGAUUGUAAAGGCUCUGUUAUUAGGGAAGAAAGGCUCUAGGAGGAAAUGCUUAGGGAUUGACGGUACCUAAUGAGGAAGCCACGGCUAACUACGUGCCAGCAGCUGC